rnacentral:rRNA from 1 species
AGCCGUCCUUGAAAUACCACCCUUGUAUGUUUGAUGUUCUAACGUUGGCCCCUAAUCGGGGUUGCGGACAGUGCCUGGUGGGUAGUUUGACUGGGGCGGUCUCCUCCCAAAGAGUAACGGAGGAGCACGAAGGUGGGCUAAUCACGGUUGGACAUCGUGAGGUUAGUGCAAUGGCAUAAGCCCGCUUAACUGCGAGAAUGACGGUUCGAGCAGGUGCGAAAGCAGGUCAUAGUGAUCCGGUGGUUCUGAAUGGAAGGGCCAUCGCUCAACGGAUAAAAGGUACUCCGGGGAUAACAGGCUGAUACCGCCCAAGAGUUCAUAUCGACGGCGGUGUUUGGCACCUCGAUGUCGGCUCAUCACAUCCUGGGGCUGAAGUCGGUCCCAAGGGUAUGGCUGUUCGCCAUUUAAAGUGGUACGCGAGCUGGGUUUAGAACGUCGUGAGACAGUUCGGUCCCUAUCUGCCGUGGGCGUUGGAAGAUUGAAGGGGGCUGCUCCUAGUACGAGAGGACCGGAGUGGACGAACCUCUGGUGUUCGGGUUGUGUCGCCAGACGCAUUGCCCGGUAGCUAAGUUCGGAAUCGAUAACCGCUGAAAGCAUCUAAGCGGGAAGCGAGCCCUGAGAUGAGUCUUCCCUGAUACUUUAAGUAUCCUGAAGGGUUGUUCGAGACUAGAACGUUGAUAGGCAGGGUGUGUAAGCGCUGUGAGGCGUUGAGCUAACCUGUACUAAUUGCCCGUGAGGCUUAACCAU